AUUUGAUUUAAAUGCACCAGUUUCAGAUGUACAAUGGGCACCUUAUUCAUCUACUGUAUUCGCGGCAUGUACAACAGCUGGAAAAAUUUAUGUUUUCGAUUUAGCUGUCAAUAAAUACGAAUCAUUGUGCAGUCAGCAAUUGGUUCAACGUCAGAAAGCAAAAUUAACACAUUUAUCAUUCAACCCAAAAUUUCCUAUUAUUUUAGUCAGCGAUGACAGAGGUUACGUAAUCAGUUAUAAAUUAUCUCCAAACUUGCGAAAAGUUCCAAAAG